rnacentral:snRNA from 1 species
GUGCUCACUUCGGCAGCACACAUACUAAAAUUGGAAUGAUACAGAGAAGAUUAGCAUGGCCCCUGCACAAGGAUGACACGCAAAUUCAUGAAGCAUUCCAUGUUAAA